rnacentral:rRNA from 1 species
AUUGAACGCUGGCGGCAGGCUUAACACAUGCAAGUCGAGCGAGCGGCGGACGGGUGAGUAAUGUCUGGGAAACUGCCUGAUGGAGGGGGAUAACUACUGGAAACGGUAGCUAAUACCGCAUACCAUCAGAUGUGCCCAGCUGGGAUUAGCUAGUAGGUGGGGUAAUGGCUCACCUAGGCGACGAUCCCUACCUGGUCUGAGAGGAUGACAUGCAAAACUGGAAUGGAGACACGGUCCAGACUCCUACGGGAGGCAGGAGUGGGAAGUAUUGCAAAGUGGGCGCAAGGCUGAUGUAGCCAUGCCGCGUCUGUGAAGAAGACCUUCGGGUUGUAGAGCACGUUCAGCGAGGCGGCGUUACUUGAAGAAGAAGCACCGGCUAACUCCGUGCCAGCAGCCGCGGUAAUAC